rnacentral:tRNA from 1 species
UGUCGCGAUGGAUCAGGCCGAUGGAAUGCGCUUCCUGCAGCGAGGCGCAAACUUGGCGCAAAAUAUGCGCCGUGCGUUCCGGCGCCACCGCGCCUUC